rnacentral:rRNA from 1 species
UACGUAGGGGCAAGCGUUGUCCGGAUUUAUUGGGCGUAAAGAGCGUGUAGGCGGCCAUGCAGGUCAGCUGUGAAAACUCGAGGCUCAACCUCGAGACGUCGGUUGAAACCAUCUGGCUAGAGUCCGGAAGAGGAGUGUGGAAUUCCCGGUGUAGCGGUGAAAUGCGCAGAUAUCGGGAAGAACACCCGUGGCGAAGGCGGCUCUCUGGGACGGUACUGACGCUGAGACGCGAAAGCGUGGGGAGCGAACG